UUGUUUGCAGGUGCAUCAUCAUCAAGAUUCACAAGAGAAUUAUACAUGAUUGCUCUUACGUUUGAGGAUGAUAAGAAAAUUGAGAAUCUUGAUGAUGCUGCAUCAGCGAUAGA
rfam:Morus notabilis contig26645, whole genome shotgun sequence.